rnacentral:rRNA from 1 species
UACGUAGGUGGCAAGCGUUGUCCGGAUUUACUGGGCGUAAAGAGCGCGCAGGCGGUCGUUCAAGUCGCGUGUGAAAGCCCCCGGCUCAACUGGGGAGGGUCACGCGAUACUGAUCGACUCGAAGGCAGGAGAGGAUAGUGGAAUUCCCGGUGUAGUGGUGAAAUGCGUAGAUAUCGGGAGGAACACCAGUGGCGAAGGCGACUACCUGGCCUGUUCUUGACGCUGAGGCGCGAAAGCUAGGGGAGCAAACGGG